GGGACGAACGCUGGCGGCGUGCAUAACACAUGCAAGUCACGGGGGCCAGUAGCAAUACUGGCAACCGGCGAACGGGUGCGUAACACGUAAGCGACCUACCUCGAUGUGGGGCAUAGCCGGCCUAACGGCCGGGUAAUUCCGCAUGUGAUCCUUGAGGGGCAUAUCUCGGGGAUGAAACCAGUAAUGGGCAUUGAGAGGGGCUUGCGGCCUAUCAGCUUGUUGGCGGGGUAACGGCUCACCAAGGCGACGACGGGUAGC
rnacentral:rRNA from 1 species